rnacentral:rRNA from 1 species
UUCCCAGGCCUUGUACACACCGCCCGUCACAUCAUGAAAGCCGCUUGUACCCGAAGUCGCCCCUCAAAAGGUGCCGAAGGUAUGGGUGGUGAUUGGGAUG